CCAUCCGUCAUUUGUGGUUGA
rnacentral:miRNA from 14 species